rnacentral:sRNA from 1 species
UGCCAGAGCACGAGCCCUACUAGCUCGAC